rnacentral:rRNA from 1 species
CAAGUCGAACGCGAAAGGGUAGCAAUACCCGAGUAGAGUGGCGAACGGGUGAGUAAUGUGUGGGUAAUUUGCCUUUUAGAGGGGGAUAACCCGGCGAAAGCUGAGCUAAUACCCCAUAAUAUCGCAAUGUCUUCGGACGUUAUGAUCAAAUGAUGGCCUCUAUUUAUAAGCUAUCGCUAAAAGAUGAGCCCACAUCCUAUCACGCUUGUUGGUGGGGUAAUGGCCCACCAAGGCGACGACGGGUAGCCGGCCUGAGAGGGUGUCCGGCCACACUGGAACUGAGACACGGUCCAGACUCCUACGGGAGGCAGCAGUGGGGAAUUUUUCGCAAUGGGCGAAAGCCUGACGAAGCAACGCCGCGUGGAGGAUGAAGGCCCUAGUGGUCGUAAACUCCUGUCUAGCGGGACGAAAGUAUUGGAGGUGAAUAAUCUCCGAUAUUGACUGUACCGCUGGAGGAAGCUCCGGCCAACUCCGUGCCAGCAGCCGCGGUAAUACGGAGGGAGCAAGCGUUACUCGGAAUUAUUGGGCGUAAAGGGCGCGUAGGCGAUCCGACAAGUCUGGUGUGAAAGCCCACAUGUUAACUGUGGAAGUGCAUUAGAAACUGUUGGAUUUGAGUUCAGGAGAGGAAAGCAGAAUUCCCGGUGUAGCGGUGAAAUGCGUAGAGAUCGGGAGGAAUACCAGUGGCGAAGGCGGCUUUCUGGACUGACACUGACGCUGAGGCGCGAAAGCCAGGGGAGCAAACGGGAUUAGAUACCCCGGUAGUCCUGGCUGUAAACGAUGUGCACUUGGUGUGAGCCGGUUUUCGGUUC